rnacentral:rRNA from 1 species
UACAGAGGGUGCAAACGUUGCUCGGAAUUACUGGGCGUAAAGCGCGUGUAGGCGGACCGAUAAGCUGGAAGUGAAAUCCCUAGGCUCAACCUAGGAAUUGCUCUCAGAACUGUCGGCCUUGAGUACUGGAGAGGGUCGCGGAAUUCCUGGUGUAGAGGUGAAAUUCAUAAAUAUCAGGAGGAACACCGGUGGCGAAGGCGGCGACCUGGACAGUAACUGACGCUGAGACGCGAAAGUGUGGGGAGCAAACAGG